rnacentral:lncRNA from 1 species
AUUUGGAAGGCUUACAAAAGAGCAGCUUCCUUGGUUUGCUUCCAGAACCUCCACUUCCGGCAGGACCCAGAAACACAACAGCAGCAGCCCAUCUUGUGAUACUUUGGCUCCUCUACUCUGACCACCAGGCAGAAGAUGGGCGUGGAAAAAGAAUCAACAGCAAUAGAAACAUUUCAAAUUUUUAGAAAAUACAAAAUUGAAACUAACUAAAAAAUAUGGGGAUGAGGUGAGAGGUCAGAGGUGAAAAGCAUUACAUGCUAUGCUUCAUCAAAAUAAGAGGCUUAAAACAGUUAUUCUGAACAAGCAGCAUCACGACUGCAUGUUAUAUAUUUUCCAGAGGUGCAUAAGAAGCUAAAGCAGAGAAGAGUUUUUAAGUCAUCAAUAUUUGUACCCAUAGAGCUUGACCAGCAUUUCUGCUGCCCAUCACCUUGAGGAAGAUGCUUUCUCCAGGUUCAGCAACAUCACUGACUUUGCUUUUGGAGGAUCCACCCUGCAACCUUUUUACUCUUCGGAGUGUAAUUCAGAGUGCACUUCUUCAGGAACUCAUUCAACUAAAGACAGGCCCUACUGUGUGAGGUAGAGUGUUGAUGGACAUGGAGAGGAAGUGAGAAUGGUUGUAAUGAAGCGGUAUUGUUUGUCUGAGGUAAUACCCCAGGUUCAUUGCCUCAUACCAGGGAAAUCCAGGAUGUGGACACACAACGAGUGCGUUUAAGAGCAGAGGUUUAACAGGUGAAAGAAAGAGAAAAGAGAAAAUCUCUCUCUUGCAGAGAGAGAAGGGUUCCUGAGUGGGUCUCUGGUUCCAUGGUGAAAUGCAUGAGGUUUUAUAGACAGGCUUGAAGAGGCAGUGGUCUGAUUUACAUAGGGCAUGAGAGAUUGGUGGGGCCAGGUGUGCCAUUUGCAUAGUGCAUGAAGAAGCUGGCCAUCCCACCCAAAUCUUUUAUUAUACAGAUGGGGUCUCU